UGUGAUCAUCUGUCAACACUC
rnacentral:piRNA from 1 species